rnacentral:lncRNA from 1 species
AACCGAAUUAUGUGGGUCUCCACAUUAUAUUUCACCUGAGUUGAUAAGAAAAAGAUAUACAAUGUCUUCUGAUAUUUGGGCAUUAGGAGUUAUGGUUUUUUUUAUGUUAACUGGGAGAUAUCCAUUUGAGGGGAAAAACACCCCUAAAGUUGUGGAUGAAAUAUUGAAUAAGAACAUAAACUGGAAGGAUAAAGAAUUUUCUUCAUUAUCUGUUGAGGCUGUUGACUUUUUAAAAAGACUUUUAGAAAGAAAUGAGAAAAAAAGAAUGACGGCAUAUCAAGGUAAGUACAUAUAUAUAACCUAGUUUUUGUAGCACCUUAUAGAAAUAAAAAAUAUAUAACAAAUUAUAUAUAUCCA